rnacentral:rRNA from 1 species
AUUGAACGCUGGCGGCAGGCUUAACACAUGCAAGUCGAGCGGUAACAGGGAGAAGCUUGCUUCUCUGCUGACGAGCGGCGGACGGGUGAGUAAUGCCUAGGAAUCUGCCUAGUAGUGGGGGAUAACUUGCCGAAAGGUAAGCUAAUACCGCAUACGUCCUACGGGAGAAAGGAGGGGACCUUCGGGCCUUUCGCUAUUAGAUGAGCCUAGGUCGGAUUAGUUAGUUGGUGAGGUAAUGGCUCACCAAGACCGCGAUCCGUAACUGGUCUGAGAGGAUGAUCAGCCACACUGGAACUGAGACACGGUCCAGACUCCUACGGGAGGCAGCAGUGGGGAAUAUUGGACAAUGGGGGGAACCCUGAUCCAGCCAUGCCGCGUGUGUGAAGAAGGUCUUAGGAUUGUAAAGCACUUUAAGUUGGGAGGAAGAGCAGUUAACUAAUAUUUGACUGUUUUGACGUUACCGACAGAAUAAGCACCGGCUAACUUCGUGCCAGCCGCCGCAGUAA